rnacentral:rRNA from 1 species
AUUGAACGCUGGCGGCAGGCCUAACACAUGCAAGUCGAACGGAGCGACGGACGGGUGAGUAAGGCCUAGGAAUCUGCCUGGUAGUGGGGGAUAACGAUCGGAAACGGACGAUAAUACCGAAUACUAUCAGAUGAGCCUAGGUCGGAGUAGCGAGUUGGUGGGGUAAAGGCAUACCAAGGCGACGAUCCGUAACUGGUCUGAGAGGAUGAUCAGUCACACUGGAACUGAUACACUGUCCAGACUCCUACGGGAGGCAGCAGUGGGGAAUAUUGGACAAUGGGCGAAAGCCUGAUCCAGCCAUGCCGCGUGUGUGAAGAAGGUCUUCGGAUUGGAAAGCACUUUCAGUUGGGAGGCGUUACCAACAGAAUAAGCACCGGCUAACUUCGUGCCAGCAGCCGCGGUAAUUC